AUUGAACGCUGGCGGAAUGCUUUACACAUGCAAGUCGAACGGCAGCACGGGGCAACCUGGUGGCGAGUGGCGAACGGGUGAGUAAUACAUCGGAACGUGCCCAAUCGUGGGGGAUAACGUAGCGAAAGUUCCGCUAAUACCGCACACGAUCAACGGAUGAAAGCGUGGGAUCGCAAGAUAUCGCGCGGAUGGAGUGGCCGAUGUCAGAUAUGGUAGUUGGUGGGGUAAAGGGCCACCAAGCCAACGCUCUGUAGCUAGUUUGAGAGGACGACCAGCCACACUGGGAGUGAGACGCGGCCCAGACUCCUACGGGAGGCAGCAGUGGGGAAUUUUGGACAAUGGGCGCAAGCCUGAUCCAGCCAUUCCGCGUGCAGGAUGAAGGCCUUCGGGUUGUAAACUGCUUUUGUACGGAACGAAACGGCUCUCUCUAAUACAGGGGCUAAUGACGGAACCGUAAGAAUAAGCACCGGCUAACUACGUGCCAGCAGCCGCCGUAAUAC
rnacentral:rRNA from 1 species